rnacentral:rRNA from 1 species
GAGAUAGCUGGUUCUCUCCGAAAUAGCUUUAGGGCUAGCCUCAAGUGAUGAUUAUUGGAGGUAGAGCACUGUUUGGACGAGGGGCCCCUCUCGGGUUACCGAAUUCAGACAAACUCCGAAUGCCAAUUAAUUUAACUUGGGAGUCAGAACAUGGGUGAUAAGGUCCGUGUUCGAAAGGGAAACAGCCCAGACCACCAGCUAAGGUCCCAAAAUAUAUGUUAAGUGGAAAAGGAUGUGGCGUUGCCCAGACAACUAGGAUGUUGGCUUAGAAGCAGCCAUCAUUUAAAGAGUGCGUAAUAGCUCACUAGUCGAGUGACACUGCGCCGAAAAUGUACCGGGGCUAAACAUAUUACCGAAGCUGUGGAUUGUCCUUUGGACAAUGGUAGGAGAGCGUUCUAAGGGCGUUGAAGCAUGAUCGUAAGGACAUGUGGAGCGCUUAGAAGUGAGAAUGCCGGUGUGAGUAGCGAAAGACGGGUGAGAAUCCCGUCCACCGAUUGACUAAGGUUUCCAGAGGAAGGCUCGUCCGCUCUGGGUUAGUCGGGUCCUAAGCUGAGGCCGACAGGCGUAGGCGAUGGAUAACAGGUUGAUAUUCCUGUACCACCUAUAAUCGUUUUAAUCGAUGGGGGGACGCAGUAGGAUAGGCGAAGCGUGCGAUUGGAUUACACGUCUAAGCAGUAAGGCUGAGUAUUAGGCAAAUCCGGUACUCGUUAAGGCUGAGCUGUGAUGGGGAGAAGACAUUGAGUCUUCGAGUCGUUGAUUUCACACUGCCGAGAAAAGCCUCUAGAUAGAAAAUAGGUGCCCGUACCGCAAACCGACACAGGUAGUCAAGAUGAGAAUUCUAAGGUGAGCGAGCGAACUCUCGUUAAGGAACUCGGCAAAAUGACCCCGUAACUUCGGGAGAAGGGGUGCUCUUUAGGGUUAACGCCCAGAAGAGCCGCAGUGAAUAGGCCCAAGCGACUGUUUAUCAAAAACACAGGUCUCUGCUAAACCGUAAGGUGAUGUAUAGGGGCUGACGCCUGCCCGGUGCUGGAAGGUUAAGAGGAGUGGUUAGCUUCUGCGAAGCUACGAAUCGAAGCCCCAGUAAACGGCGGCCGUAACUAUAACGGUCCUAAGGUAGCGAAAUUCCUUGUCGGGUAAGUUCCGACCCGCACGAAAGGCGUAACGAUUUGGGCACUGUCUCAACGAGAGACUCGGUGAAAUCAUAGUACCUGUGAAGAUGCAGGUUACCCGCGACAGGACGGAAAGACCCCGUGGAGCUUUACUGUAGCCUGAUAUUGAAAUUCGGCACAGCUUGUACAGGAUAGGUAGGAGCCUUUGAAACGUGAGCGCUAGCUUACGUGGAGGCGCUGGUGGGAUACUACCCUAGCUGUGUUGGCUUUCUAACCCGCACCACUUAUCGUGGUGGGAGACAGUGUCAGGCGGGCAGUUUGACUGGGGCGGUCGCCUCCUAAAAGGUAACGGAGGCGCUCAAAGGUUCCCUCAGAAUGGUUGGAAAUCAUUCAUAGAGUGUAAAGGCAUAAGGGAGCUUGACUGCGAGACCUACAAGUCGAGCAGGGUCGAAAGACGGACUUAGUGAUCCGGUGGUUCCGCAUGGAAGGGCCAUCGCUCAACGGAUAAAAGCUACCCCGGGGAUAACAGGCUUAUCUCCCCCAAGAGUUCACAUCGACGGGGAGGUUUGGCACCUCGAUGUCGGCUCAUCGCAUCCUGGGGCUGUAGUCGGUCCCAAGGGUUGGGCUGUUCGCCCAUUAAAGCGGUACGCGAGCUGGGUUCAGAACGUCGUGAGACAGUUCGGUCCCUAUCCGUCGUGGGCGUAGGAAAUUUGAGAGGAGCUGUCCUUAGUACGAGAGGACCGGGAUGGACAUACCUCUGGUGUACCAGUUGUCGUGCCAAC